AUGAUUUUUGUGUGUGUUCACUCAGUGAUUGUUUGUAGUAAUCAGCAUUAUGUUGUGUUUGUCAGACUGCAGGCUAUGUUAGAGAUUCAGAGGCUUGAAGCUGAAGUAGAGAAUCACAACACAAGGAACAAUGAGAAGCUGAAGAAGGCACUAAAUGAUGCAUCGGCAAAGUCAGGUGACCUCUCACGAGCCAAUCAGGAGCUUCGAGAGAAGGUGUCUGAGCUGGAAAAGUUGGUGUCCAAUCAGAAGUCUCGACUGAGUCAGUAUCUGGACAACAGAACCACUCUGAAACACUCUCUGAGAAUCAAGUCUCAGUCUUUGCUGCAGCUGCGCUCUGAGAUGUUUUCUCUCCAGUCUGAGCUGCAGUGUCUGUAUUCCACUCAGCAGGCGGAGCUACAGGCCGAAAGAGAUCUCAAUCGCACACUACAGGAGAAAUGUUGGGUCAUCAAUACUGCAAGACCAACAAAGUGCUGGAGAAUUGCCAUUAUGUAA
rnacentral:lncRNA from 1 species